rnacentral:rRNA from 1 species
AUGGUUUGGCAGUGAGUGAUUCUUGUUAGGGGAAGAUGCAUAGUAAAGGAUGGUCCACCUAUUAAUUUACUCUUUUUAUGUUGGUGUAUGUCUGGUUUAAUAUUAUUGUUUAGUAAUGUAAGUUUGUGUAGUUUUAGUUAAGCUAAGUCUAUGUGCUGCUUAUAAGAGUUUUUGUGUGUUACAUUGAUAGGAAUAUUGUUGUAAUAUGGUAUUGU